AAUGGAAACCGGACACAGCAGUAGGGUGGACGCGUCAGGUUAUAAAUGACCCUGUCUCCUUUGUUCAGUGUACUCUCGUGGCAAAACUGCUGGCGAGUGUACCCUUUCUGCAGGAGGUAAAAAUUGCCUUACUAAAUUAAAUUUAUGUUCAAGUGCUAUUUCUUUAUGGCACUGGGGAACAAGCAUUUCAAACACAAUGAAUGAGAAAAAAAUAAACUGCCCACUGCCAUCUUCAGGACUUACUCCUUCCAGUUAAAAAUGUUGGUCCAAAGAAAAGAGGAAAAAGAAAAGAAGAAUAGAUUGUAUUUAUGCUGUGUUGUUGGUCAGACAACAUACAUGUGCUAUGUAAUCUACGGUUUCCUAGGACUUGUGUUUUGAGGAAAAGAUGGUGGCAGAAUGAGAAUUACAGGCCAAGGAAAAGCAAAAGUGUGAAGGCCUUGAGCAAGGAGGAGCAUGAAACUUCAGAAAUGAAACGCAACAUAUUCACAGCUGAGAAAGGGACUUUUAGGAUACAGACAACUUUGGAGGGCCAUUAUUCUGCCUGCCACAGAGAUAUCAUCCAUAAGUGACUCGUCUCUAAAAAUUAAAGGUAUGUUGUUAUGUACCCACAGUACCAGCAAUUUUUUUUAAAUCAGGAUCCAAAUAAGAUCUACCUACUGUUGUUUAGUUAUGUCACAUGAGUAAUUUUUAAUGUAUAUAAGGCUUAUCAUGUCCACUUUUUCUCAUGCAAUUGAUUUGUUGAAAAUAUCCAGUCUACCGUUACAGAAUAUACCACUUUAUGAAUUGUUUUUCUCCUGUUUCCUCGUGUUGAGAUUUAAGAUGUUCUUUUUGUUUUUAAUCUCAAGCUGGAGCUAAAAGCCAAAGGCGAUUCAAGAUUAAUGUAUCUGAGAAAAAUACUCGUCAGAAGAUCCAAUACAUUUCACAUUGUAUCAUAUUAGGAGACUCAUAACAUAUUCUUGCUCCAUUGUGUUGAAGUAAGGUUUUGCCAUUUAUUUAUAUGGUUGAACUUUGCCCACUAACAAUAGCCAUUUUAUUACCUCCACCUUGCCACCGCUAGAAAUCUUGGUGGAUUUCUAACACAUGAUCCACCCACCUAUUAUCCGAGUGUUUUCCCCACUACCGCAUUUAAUGACUCCUAGACAAUUUCCUUUUCUUAAUUUGGUCUUAUCUGAACUAUAUUUUUAUAAGUCUUGUUUGAAAUUUUUGGUUGGCAGAUGAUGUACUUGCCAGUUUCCCAGUACUGAUAUAGAAUCUCAUAUAUGUAUUUACAUAUAUGAGAAUACACACACACAUACACUUUUACCAUUUUGAGAGAGAAUGACUAAGUUGAUUAGAAGUUUUUCUGUAAUGAUUUGUAAAGAGAAAUGACAGUACUUGUGAUUUUAGUAGAUAAUGAUUGAGAAUAUAGUAAAAAGGCAGUAUUAGUAAAUCUUAAAUAUAUGUGAAUCUGUUUAAUUCACAUGUAACAUUCACAUGCUUUUUAAAAUUAGCAAUUCAUGUUAUACUAGACAUUUAAAUAUUCUAAAAAUGUUUGAUGCCUACAUGGAUUUAUGAACUCCUUGCAACAACUGAUGGCCCCUGCUCUUCAGAAGACUAAACUUCAGAGUAGAGAACACGGCUUUAAGGAAUAUGACUUCCAAUUUGGAAUUUCAGUGGGACUUAUUAUCUGAAUUAAUUCUUAAUCUCUAGGCUAUGGAAGUACAAUUGAAAAUUUGCACAUUAAUACUUCAGUGAUUCAUAAAAUGAAUUCCUUUUUCAGCAACUAAAUACCUAGAGGUGUAAAAUAUUUACCAUAUUUUUUCAAAUUAUCCGUGUUGUACUCAUAAAGGACUGUAUUUUCAAAAAGGAUUCAUUUCAUUAUUCAAUAAGUGUUUUAUUCAUCUUUGACUAUAUAUCUCUUAUUGUUAUAUGUUAGGGAUACAGUUGUGAGGAAAUAGAUAUUGUUAUAUUGUUCUUGAAUAUAGAACUUGUAGUUAUAUCUAUGAAAUUGAUUUUCUAUACAUUAGCCAGGAUAAGAUAGGAAUAAUUUUGGCAUUAAGGGAAUUCUGUUAUUUGGAACAGUUUUAGAGAGGCUGUGUAUUUCUUUUGACCAUUAUCUGUGAGUAACAGACACCAGUAAAUGAAUAGUAGCUUAAAUUUGACAAAAUGUUUAUUUUUGUCAUCUGGAGGAAUCAGUCAGUCCAGUUGCUGGUGUGGCUCCCUACCACCUAAAGAACCAACAGUUAGUUUUUUUCAGCUUAAACACUUGAACCCGUGGUUGAACCCUAUCAGAAUGAUCAAGGGAUAUCCAAUGGGAAUUAGUUACUAUAUAAUUUUGGAAAGAGCUGGGAAGUAAAUGUCUAGGAGAAAGUUGAGAGACCAUAGAAAAAGUAGGUAGAAAAGCCUAUGAAAAACCUUGUUUCUGUGUAGCUACCAUCUUUAUGGGUCUAUUGCCAAACUUCUGAAAGGGCCGAGAGCUGCUGCUGGUUAACUGGGGUGGGGUUUGAGAAGGUAGACACAUAGAAGAGGGGAGUGGGAGAGGAACCCACUGGCACCUCUGCAUCUGCCUGUGACAGCAAGUGACCCUGGUGACCAUCCAAGAAUAAGAGCUGCUGCCUAAGUGCCCUCCCUCAAAUGUAUUGUGAAUUCUUUUGGACAACUCUAACCCAGAACCAUGCAGAAAAGAUGAUUCUGGGAAACUAAACCGAAUUAACUUAAUAC